rnacentral:rRNA from 1 species
CUACGGGCUGCUCCAGUGGGGAAUAUUGGACAAUGGGGGAAACCCUGAUCCAGCAAUGCCGCGUGUGUGAAGAAGGCCUGCGGGUUGUAAAGCACUUUCGGUUGGGAGGACUGCUUCUAGCACUAAUAUUGUUGGAAGUUGACGUUACCUUCAGAAGAAGCACCGGCUAACUCCGUGCCAGCAGCCGCGGUAAUACGGAGGGUGUAAGCGUUAAUCGGAAUUACUGGGCGUAAAGCGCGCGUAGGCGGCUAGAUCAGUCGGGUGUGAAAGCCCCGGGCUUAACCUGGGAACUGCAUCCGAUACUGUCUAGCUUGAGUACAGGAGAGGAGAGUGGAAUUCCACAUGUAGCGGUGAGAUGCGUAGAUAUGUGGAGGAACACCAAUGGCGAAGGCAGCUCUCUGGCCUGAUACUGACGCUGAGGUGCGAAAGCGUGGGGAGCAAACAGGAUUAGAUACCCUCGUAGUC